rnacentral:rRNA from 1 species
CCUACGGGGAGCAGCAGUGGGGAAUAUUGGACAAUGGGCGAAAGCCUGAUCCAGCCAUGCCGCGUGUGUGAAGAAGGCCUUCGGGUUGUAAAGCACUUUCAGUGGGGAAGAAAGCCUUGGGGCUAAUACCCUCGAGGAAGGACAUCACCCACAGAAGAAGCACCGGCUAACUCCGUGCCAGCAGCCGCGGUAAUACGGAGGGUGCGAGCGUUAAUCGGAAUUACUGGGCGUAAAGCGCGCGUAGGCGGUCUGAUAAGCCGGUUGUGAAAGCCCCGGGCUCAACCUGGGAACGGCAUCCGGAACUGUCAGGCUAGAGUGCAGGAGAGGAAGGUAGAAUUCCCGGUGUAGCGGUGAAAUGCGUAGAGAUCGGGAGGAAUACCAGUGGCGAAGGUGGCCUUCUGGACUGACACUGACGCUGAGGUGCGAAAGCGUGGGUAGCAAACAGGAUUAGAUACCCCUGUAGUC